CUCCUUUGGAUCAACAGAACCAUCACAUGAACAUGUUCUGUAUAGCCUCUCUAACUGUUUCCUUCUCUGGCUCUGUUCAACGCCUUUUCCAGUGGGAUAAAUGUCACAUCACAGUUUUGUUUGUUUAGAGAUUAAUAACAAAUUCAAGCAAAUGAGGAGCCGUGUCAUGUUUAAAAAGGGACAAACGUGAUGACAGACACACAGUAGGAGAGACAGAGAGACAGAAUGGGGAGAGAGUUGGAUAGCAAGAUAGAGAUAGAGAGACAGAGAGAGACAGAGCGAGAGUAAGAGAGUUUUCUUCAAACAACAGUGAUGGAAACGUUGUUGUAUCUCACCCUGCUAAUCUCAGGGUUCUACACACCUUCCUCAUGCCUUCAUCAGUAUCACCUCAUUAGCAACAAUACGAACUGGACUGAUGCCCAGAGUUACUGCAGAGCACAUUACACUGAUCUGGCUACAGUAGAUGACAUGGAGGACCUGAACAGUCCCAGCGCACCGGAGACACA